rnacentral:tRNA from 1 species
GGGAAUUUAGCUCAGUGGUAUAGCACCUGCCUGGCAAACCUGAGGUCCUGAGUUCGAUUCUCAGUACCCCUC